rnacentral:tmRNA from 1 species
GCCCUUUCGCGAUCGCCCGACCCGCACUAUAUUCGGAGCGCCUUCGCAAGAAGGCUAUGGCGAUAAACAGGCUUCGAAAUAAACCAUCCGGACCCGGGGGCGGUACCCGGCGCCUCCACCCCAGCCCAGCGGCCUGCUGGGUUGCGGCGGGGGCGAAACAGGAUCGACGGGGGCGUAAAGGAAGAUCUUUUGCCCGGCAUGAUACCGCCGUUAUCGGGUCAAACCUAUAGUUGCCAACGACAACUAUGCUCCGGUGGCCGUCGCUGCGUAAUGC